rnacentral:rRNA from 1 species
UGAAUACGAGAUGCUACGGCGUCGAAGCAGUGUAUGUCAGACUUCCAAGAAAAGCUCGCAAUGUCAUAAAUAAAGAAUGCCUGUACCAUAACCGACACAGGUGGGUAGGUAGAGUAUACUAAGGGGCGCGAGAUAACUCUCUCUAAGGAACUCGGCAAAAUAACUCCGUAACUUCGGGAGAAGGAGUGCCUUCUUUAAGAAGGUUGCAAUAACAAGAUCCAAGCAACUGUUUAUCAAAAACACAGGUCUCCGCUAAGUCGUAAGACGAUGUAUGGGGGCUGACGCCUGCCCAGUGCCAGAAGGUUAAAGAAGCUGGUUAGCAAUAGCGAAGCUGGUGACUGAAGCCCUGGUGAACGGCGGCCGUAACGAUAACGGUCCUAAAGUAGCGAAAUUCCUUGUCGGGUAAGUUCCGACCCGCACGAAAGGCGUAAUGAUUUGGAUACUGUCUCGGAGAGGGACUCGGUGAAAUAGACUUGUCUGUGAAGAUGCGGACUACCUGCACCAGGACAGAAAGACCCUAUGAAGCUUUACUGUAACCUGAAAUUGAAAUUGGACUUUAUUUGCGCAGUAUAGGUGGGAGGCGUUGAAAGUAAUCUAGCGGGAUUAGUGGAGCCAUCAGUGAGAUACCACUCCUAUAAUGUUAGAUUUCUAACUUUGGAUCAUGAUCUGGUCAAAGAACAGUUUCAGGCGGGCAGUUUGACUGGGGCGGUCGCCUCCCAAAUGGUAACGGAGGCGUACAAAGGUUUCCUCUGAACGGGUAGAAAUCGUAUCUAGAGUGUAAAGGCAUAAGGAAGCUUGACUGUGAGACCUACAAGUCGAGCAGGGACGAAAGUCGGUCUUAGUGAUCUGACGGUGCUGAGUGGAAAGGCCGUCACUCAACGGAUAAAAGUUACUCUAAGGAUAACAGGCUGAUCUCCCCCAAGAGUUCACAUCGACGGGGAGGUUUGGCACCUCGAUGUCGGCUCAUCGCAUCCUGGGGCGGUAGUACGUCCCAAGGGUUGGGCUGUUCGCCCAUGAAAGCGGUACGCGAGCUGGGUUCAGAACGUCGUGAGACAGUUCGGUCCAUAUCCGGUGUAGGCGUUAGAAUAUUGAGAGGAGCCUUCUCUAGUACGAGAGGACCGAGAAGGACAUACCUCUGGUGUACCAGUUAUCGUGCCAACGGUAAGCGCUGGGUAGCUAUGUAUGGAGAGGAUAACCGCUGAAAGCAUCUAAGUGGGAAGCCCACCUCAAGAUGAG